CUCUUAUAUAGAGCGGUGGAGGGAUGUGCCCGAUGAAACCCGGCAACCAGCAGUCAAACGUGACUGGAAAGGUGCCAAUUCACACAGGUUAAACCUGGGAUAUGAGAG
rnacentral:ncRNA from 1 species